AACGAAGCAUCCUCAUCUCCGCUACACCCAUUUUGUGUACGUGUUGAUGUUUCACCGCCCAACAUUCUGUGCCAUACAGCAUCGCCGGCCUUAUUGCCGUCCUAUAAAAUUUUCCCUUGAGCUUCAGUGGCAUACGGCGGUCACACAACACGCCGGAUGCACUCUUCCACUUCAUCCAUCCAGCUUAUAUUCUAUGGUUGAGAUCUCCAUCUAAUUCUCCGUUCUUUUGCAAGAUAGAUCCUAGGUAACGAAAACGGUCGCUCUUUGGUAUUUCUUGAUCUCCGAUCCUCACCCCCUAACUCGUUUUGGCCUCCAUUUGCACUGAACUUGCACUCCAUAUAUUCUGUCUUUGAUCGGCUUAGGCGAAGACCUUUAGAUUCCAACACUUCUCUCCAAAGGUUAAGCUUUGCAUUUACCCCUUCCUGAGUUUCAUCUAUCAACACUAUAUCGUCUGCGAAAAGCAUACACCAAGGAAUAUCAUCUUGAAUAUGUCGUGUUAACUCAUCCAUUACCAA
rnacentral:lncRNA from 1 species